AAUUUUCCGAAAUAGUGACAAAAUAUCAAUGCUGAAUACUAUGUAUUUAGUAAUUGGAAUGAGUACAAUUUAAAUCCCUUAACAAGUAACAAUUAGAGGGCAAGUCUGGUGCCAGCAGCCGCGGUAAUUCCAGCUCUAAUAGCGUAUAUUAAUAUUGUUGCAGUUAAAAGCUCGUAGUUGAAAUUUGGAACUUUAUUAUAUUGGUUUACCUUUUGGUGAACUGUAUAAUGGGUUUCUUCCUACUAGAGUUCGAUUCUGUUCUUAACUGAAUGGAGUAGCUAUCUCUCGGGGUAGUCAGUUGGUUAUUAUAUCUCCACUAAUGAGCGGAGAGGGGUAAAACCUUCAAAGCAAGUUAUGUGGAUCAAGGUAUAGUGAUUAAUUGGAGUUCUAGUUCAUUUACUUUGAGAAAAUUAGAGUGUUUAAAGCAGCCUCUUGGGGCACUGAAUACAUUAGCAUGGGAUAAUAAAAUAGGAUCUUCACAAUAUAUUUUAUUGGUUUAAAUUGCGUAUGAAGAUAAUGAUUAAUAGGGACAGUUGGGGG
rnacentral:rRNA from 1 species